rnacentral:rRNA from 1 species
GAUGAACGCUGGCGGCGUGCCUAAUACAUGCAAGUCGAGCGAACAGAUGAGAAGCUUGCUUCUCUGAUGUUAGCGGCGGACGGGUGAGUAACACGUGGGUAACCUACCUAUAAGACUGGGAUAACUCCGAGAAACCGGGGCUAAUACCGGAUAAUAUUUUGAACCGCAUGGUUCAAUAGUGAAAGACGGUUUCGGCUGUCACUUAUAGAUUGACCCGCGCCGUAUUAGCUAGUUGGUAAGGUAACGGCUUACCAAGGCGACGAUACGUAGCCGACCUGAGAGGGUGAUCGGCCACACUGGAACUGAGACACGGUCCGGACUCCUACGGGAGGCAGCAGUAGGGAAUCUUCCGCAAUGGGCGAAAGCCUGACGGAGCAACGCCGCGUGAGUGAUGAAGGUCUUCGGAUCGUAAAACUCUGUUGUUAGGGAAGAACAAAUUUGUUAGUAACUGAACAAGUCUUGACGGUACCUAACCAGAAAGCUACGGCUAACUACGUGCCAGCCGCCGCCGUAA